rnacentral:rRNA from 1 species
AACGAACGCUGGCGGCAUGCCUAACACAUGCAAGUCGAACGAGACCUUCGGGUCUAGUGGCGCACGGGUGCGUAACGCGUGGGAACCUGCCCUUAGGUUCGGAAUAACUCCCCGAAAGGGGUGCUAAUACCGGAUAAUGUCUUCGGACCAAAGAUUUAUCGCCUUUGGAUGGGCCCGCGUUGGAUUAGCUAGUUGGUAGGGUAAAAGCCUACCAAGGCGACGAUCCAUAGCUGGUCUGAGAGGAUGAUCAGCCACACUGGGACUGAGACACGGCCCAGACUCCUACGGAAGGCAGCAGUGGGGAAUAUUGGCCAUGGGGCGAAAGCCGAACCCACCAAUGCCCGUGGAGUAAUGAAGGCUUUAGGUUGGUAAGCUCUUUUACCCGGGAUGAUAAUGACAGUACCGGGAGAAUAAGCUCCGGCUAACUCUGUG